UGAAGCCACCACGGUCCCCGCAGUAAUCUGCUGCGUGGGCCGUAGUGGCUUCCAGAGCCAUCUUUCGGUUUUGGUGAGGAUUUGUUACAGUUGCCCUUCAAUGUAGCAGGCUACGGCUUUCUGAAGAAGCCUGCUUUACGUAGCAUUGGAGUACAAAUAUUGUGCAAAAUGCUCAUGUAAUUGCACUAGCACUGGUAACUUGUAGAUUAGCUUAGUUUAACGUCAUUCGGUGCUGUCUGUCAAAUGUGUGGGUAAACCACGUUGGAACACCCCUGGACAAGGUGAUUAGUCACUGGUGAUUAGACACGAAGUCCACUGUGUGCUAAAGUUUUGUUCCAUUUUUCACUAGUUGGUUAAGGUUUGGUAGAAUUGUUUGGAUGCUAGCGACGUGAUGGCGUAUGUACAAGAGCCUACCUUGCGACGGCCACGGCCAGAUGGCCUAGUGUGAGUGCAACCUUGAUUGCAUUUGUAUACUGUUUACCAUUGGAUGUUUAUGCAAUUUGGCUUAAUUCAUCCGCUGUAAAGCUGCAUUUGACUAUUCCAGGGUCGUUUUGUACAGGCUUUCAAUUGACCAUAUUGACUAGUUGGUUGGAAGUUUUUUCUUUUUUUUACCCUUGCUUACAAUCCAACGGUUGCGACCACUUAUGCAACUGGGCUGUGAACCUUGCAAUUCUAGUUGCAUAUUUGUACACACAAGCUUGUCCAUUUCUAUCGCCAUCACUAACACUAGCUUCAGCAUUUCCUUGUAGGCCAUUAGCUGACUUGUGUAUUGGAGCAAUGAUUUGGGUAUUUUAAGAUGCUUGAAAACCUAAAAUAAAGCAAAAUGCGUGUCUGAUGUGCAAGAGCCAAUUUGUUGGCUUGCAGUAGUCGAGGAGUUGCCGUAGGUCGUAAGCCAUCUGGAGGUUGUGGCAAUGGAGGCUUGUGGUAGAUCUGCCAUCCAAGAAAGGUUGCUUCUUCUGAAGCAUGAUUAAUAGUUUAGUAAAUUUAAUCUAUUCAUAUAGAACUAUAAAAUCCAAGACUGCAGCCAGUAACUUGGAUCGCAAUAUGUGGAAAGUAUCAGUCUUCAUUUGUAACAACAGAAUAAUUAACAUGACUAACUGGGUUUCUUCCAUUUUCUAACUAGGGGGACUUGACUGGUGAGUCUACUGGAUUAAUCAGUAGCGGUACUUUGCCCAAAAGAUUUGAUGGCAUGACUACAGGUUGGUGGUUCAACACUGAUGUCUCUCUAGGCUUGAGGAGAGCUCACAAGUAAAUUACACGAAUGUCCUGGAGCAAUUGGGAAUACACUUUUAUUUAGUCUACCUGACCAGGGACAUCUUUGAACUAUAGGUCACCUAAGCCUAACUUUUCACUCUUGUUAUGUUGUCCUUUUCUCUUGUUUUAACCCGAAAGGGCUGAAAAUAUCAACAUUUCAGGUAUUCUGUUUGGAUAAUGUGCAAAACUUGUGGCUUCACUAAUAAAAAAAAAUUAACAAAUGUAUUUUUCUUAAUGUGGUUAAACUAUUGAAAGAUUUGUAUGCAAAAUAUUUCUGCUCAAUUUGUGGUCAAUGAAACGCAAAUUUUUUAAUUUGAUAAAACACAACUAUGGGUUAAAGGUAUUUGCUUUGGGCAUCUUUUGAUAUUUUUAGAAUCUAGCUCCAUUGCCGUUUGAAAUGGUGUCUCCCAGUACUGCAAAGUGCUUCCACAAGUUUAAAAAAGAAUUGGCAGAAAAGGAACUGCCAACUAAAUCUAUUUAAAAUGGGUAGAAAGUUUCCAUGUUAGCUCUUGGCUGCUGGUUCCCAACACAGCUCCACUGUUAGCCUGUGACCUUGCGUUUAACUUUUUUGGACUUUUGGUGACUUUCACAAAAGAGAAAUUAACUGGUUAAUACAAUAAACAAGACAUUUGAAACUUCAGCUACAUUUUUAUCUAUUUGUACUGCCUUUGAUUUCAACUCGUGACAUGUUUGUCAGGUGAUAACUAUGUACCUGUGACCGCAUAUCAUGGUACCAUUUUGAACUGUUUGUGGAUAUUGCAUUAAAUCCAUAUGCUUGAAACUUUUCAAUAAUGCAUAUCAACGAAACAAUGGAAUGAAAUAAAUAGCUCAAGC
ensembl:lncRNA